UACGUAUGGGGCAAGCGUUAUCCGGAUUUACUGGGUGUAAAGGGAGCGUAGGCGGCCUGGCAAGCCUGAUGUGAAAUACCGGGGCCCAACCCCGGGGCUGCAUUGGGAACUGCCAGGCUGGAGUGCCGGAGAGGCAGGCGGAAUUCCUAGUGUAGCGGUGAAAUGCGUAGAUAUUAGGAGGAACGCCAGUGGCGAAGGCGGCCUGCUGGACGGUGACUGACGCUGAGGCUCGAAAGCGUGGGGAGCAAACAGG
rnacentral:rRNA from 1 species